rnacentral:misc_RNA from 1 species
CCAAACUUGGUCAUUUAGAGGAAGUAAAAGUCGUAACAAGGUUUCCGUAGGUGAACCUGCGGAAGGAUCAUCAAAGAGGAGGGGGGAGAGGAGGAGGGUCCCGAGGGAUCGGGAUCUCUCUCUCCUCCCAACCAAUCUUGUGUGAACCGUAGCGAGCAUCGGUGUGUGGUAGGUUGGUGGGAAGGGAGGAGGGGUUUUGGCCUCUGCCCCCACCGCCGGCACACGCUAGCCAAUAUCUCCGUGAUAUCUCUUGUCUAAUCUUGUGACCACAAUAACACACAACUUUUAACAAUGGAUCUCUUGGCUCUCGCAUCGAUGAAGAACGCAGC